CUUUACUGACAUGCCUAGUUAAAUAAAGGUUACAUAUAUAUAUUUUUUUAAAUUGAAUUGCGUGGUGGGGAGGUGGAGGGCCAGAUGGGUGUGCCUGCACGUCAUAACAACUUCUUACCAGUUGUAGGCCUUGUGGGCAGGUUUUGGGUCGUCAUUGGUCUAGACAUUUUGGCUGAGCCUGACAACCCUGGUUGUGACGUCACUUCAAUUAUGGGCUCGCGCUGUUGACAGAAGUUUGUCCAGUGAGUCGACAGCAAGACAAAAGCAGCUAAAUUAGUACAUUUUUGAUGUAUUCAUUUUGAAGGUAAGCAAAUGGAGAAGCACCAUAUUCCAGUGUAAUGUUUCCGGGGUAUGUACAUAUGUUUGUUGAGAUGUUAUGUUUUUAUGAACUUAUGAAAGUCCUCUAGCCUACAAGCUAAUUUAGCCGUUAGCCUUUUAGCUGGUAGCCCCGCAUAGCAACGCUAGCUUCCCUAGUAACGGCCCUUUUGCAGCAGAGUGAAUGAGACAUGAAGCUGAUAGAUCUAGAGAGAGAGAGAGAAGUUAAACAACUGUAACUAGAUGUAAAUCAAAUAUUACUAUGAGAUGAAUUGGAUGAAUGUGUGUUUAUGUAUCAGAAAUUGUAUUAUUAUCAUAAUUAUUAUUGAUUCUAUUAAUUGAAUAGCAGUUUAGAAGAAAUGUACAAGCCUAAAUGAAACAACUAGAUAAAUACAUUUUUUAUGUCUUCAAUUUAUUUGAAGGUCUUGGUUCCAAUUCUUCUCAACUUCACUGCAUAAGUGUAACACAUUCCCAACGUUUUUUAUUUGAACAUAAUUGCACUGUAAUUAUUUGUAUUUAUUUAACCUUUAUUUAACGAGGCAAGUCAGUUAAGAACACAUACUUAUUUACAAUGACGGCCUACCAAAAGGCAAAAGACCUCUGCGGGGACAGGGGCUGGGAUUAAAAAUGUCAAAAUAAAUAACAUAUAAAUAUAGGACAAAACACACAUCAAGACAACAGAGACAACACAACGCUACAUACAGAGAGACACAUUUGAGCUGUAUAAUGUUCUUUACCAGGGUCCGAGACUUCAUUAGUCCAACCAGCACUGCAGAAGUCAUAGUAAAACUGCUUGGAAGCUAUGCUUUAUCACACUCUCAUGUAGGAAUUGUGUUCUGAUAUUAUGAAGGCGUCCCUGAUCACAAAAUGGGUCCCCAAUGCAAAGAAGUUUGGGAACCCCUGAUCUAGAAAAAGUCAUGACACAAUGCCCCUUUGUAUUUU
ensembl:lncRNA